rnacentral:tRNA from 2 species
CGGAUAGCCAGCGAUUCGAACGCUGAUAGCUUAAAAGCAACUACGUAGCAAGUAGAUUAGUUUACCAAUACCGAGCUAUCC